UAUCAGAUCAAUAUUAAUGUAUUGACUUUUUCCUUAUGAAAUGAUUUAAGAAUGAAUUUGUAUUAAGAAUUAGAAUUUUGAAAUAUUUGAGGAUGAGAUUCAAGUAAGAAACUAUGAAGACUCAAGCAAGAAAAAUUUCGAGGAUGAAAUUUCUUUUAGAGGGGAAGAAUGUGACGGCCCAACCCAUGUCAGAAUCCCAG
rnacentral:lncRNA from 1 species